rnacentral:rRNA from 1 species
GACGAACGCUGGCGGCGUGCUUAACACAUGCAAGUCGAACGGUAAGGCCCUUCGGGGUACACGAGUGGCGAACGGGUGAGUAACACGUGGGUGAUCUGCCCUGCACUUCGGGAUAAGCCUGGGAAACUGGGUCUAAUACCGGAUAGGACCACUGCCUGCAUGGGUGGUGGUGGAAAGCUGUUGCGGUGUGGGAUGGGCCCGCGGGCUAUCAGCUGGUUGGUGGGGUGAUGGCCUACCAAGGCGACGACGGGUAGCCGGCCUGAGAGGGUGACCGGCCACACUGGGACUGAGAUACGGCCCAGACUCCUACGGGAGGCAGCAGUGGGGAAUAUUGCACAAUGGGCGCAAGCCUGAUGCAGCGACGCCGCGUGAGGGAUGACGGCCUUCGGGUUGUAAACCUCUUUCAGCACCGACGAAGCGCAAGUGACGGUAGGUGCAGAAGAAGGACCGGCCAACUACGUGCCAGCCGCCGCCGUAA